GAGCUGCUCCUAGUACGAGAGGACCGGAGUGGACGUACCCCUGGUGUUCGGGUUGUCAUGCCAAUGGCAUUGCCCGGUAGCUAUGUACGGACGGGAUAAGCGCUGAAAGCAUCUAAGUGCGAAGCCCCCCUCAAGAUGAGUUCUCACUGGACUUUAAGUCCCUGAAGGGCCGUGGAAGACUACCACGUUGAUAGGUUGGGUGUGGAAGUGCAGUAAUGUAUGAAGCUAACCAAUACUAAUUGCCCGUGAGGCUUGA
rnacentral:rRNA from 1 species